GUUUUUUAAAUUCUCACAGCUGUUCCUCUUUCAGGGUUCUUUGAACAAGUUUCAUGGUCAACAUGCGUUGUGAGAGAGGGCAAGGAAAAUAGACCAAGGCAUAUCGAUUAUAAGGUUUGAGAUGCCCUUUAAUAUAUGGUGUGGUGGAUGCAAUUCUAUGAUUGCUAAGUAUGUUAGGUUCAAUGCAGAGAAAAAGCAAGUGGGAAAUUAUUAUUCGACAAAGAUAUGGAGGUUUGCAAUGAAGUUUGCAUGAUGUAAGCAUGAGAUUGUUAUUCAGACAGAUCCAAAAAAUUGCGAGUAUGUGAUCAUCAGUGGGGCCCAAAAGAAGACUGAGGACUUCGAUAUUGAGGAUGCAGAGACCUUUGAACUUCCUGCAGAUGAAGGUUGGUUUGGAAUCUUUUUCUCCCUGUUAUUUAUUUAUUUAUUUUUAAUAUAAAGCGUUCAAAGUAAAUUGCAUUUUUAUGGAACCCAUUGUUAUG